rnacentral:lncRNA from 1 species
ACAGCUGAGUGGACACUCAUGAAAACAAGCCCCUGACUCCACCAAAAUGGCUGCAGUGGUCCCCUCUUUCCAUUCAGAAAAGGCACCACCCUAGUGAGUUCUGGAUCCACCCCCGAUUUGUGCAUUUGUGUAAUGUCCCCCGGGGCCACUGAACCUGCCCAAGGACAUGCCCACCAACCCUCAGCAUGCAGACAUCUGCACCCCUGUCCUUCUUCCACCCCAGAAGCCUUCCGGGAAAUGGAGACAGGAAAGACAACUGGGCCUUGGACAGAAGAGAGGAGGCGGACAGGAGGCGGACAGGGUCACACAGUCACCCAGGGCAUGACUCGGAGAAGAGGAGGUGUUUCAGGGCCAUGCUAUUGCUUGAUGGCUAAGUUGCCCAGAUUGGACUUGAAUUGUGGUCUUCCUGCUUCAGGCUCCAAGAGUUCUGGAUUACAGUGACACAGAAGAAUGCACAGAUUAUAAGUGUGCAACGUGACCAGCGUUCACACGUGGGCACCCUCGUGCACUUCUUCAAGAUGCUGGGCAACCCUGGAUGGGGGCGCGGUCGCAGACUGCAUCUCAUCAGUAAGGAAAUAAAGAGCGGGAGGUUGGGGGGAGCUUUCUGAGGUUCCCAGGUAGGAAGCCGCAUGCAGGGAAGACCCAGGCCGGGUCUCCUGGUCCCACACUUGGGGAGUAGCUCUGAGCCCCUGGUGGAUUGGGGUGAAGGCUGGGAGCAGGGAAAUAAGAAGCUGACAUUGAAGUCAGAUGGGCCCAGAAGGGACAAUGGCACAGGGAGGGGCAGCGCGUAGGGCUGGGCAGG